UGGGGAAUAUUGCACAAUGGGCGAAAGCCUGAUGCAGCAACGCCGCGUGAGGGAUGACGGCCUUCGGGUUGUAAACCUCUUUUAGUAGGGAAGAAGCGAAAGUGACGGUACCUGCAGAAAAAGCACCGGCUAACUACGUGCCAGCAGCCGCGGUAAUACGUAGGGUGCAAGCGUUGUCCGGAAUUAUUGGGCGUAAAGAGCUCGUAGGCGGUUUGUCGCGUCUGCUGUGAAAUCCCGAGGCUCAACCUCGGGUCUGCAGUGGGUACGGGCAGACUAAAGUGUGGUAGGGGAGAUUGGAAUUCCUGGUGUAGCGGUGGAAUGCGCAGAUAUCAGGAGGAACACCGAUGGCGAAGGCAGAUCUCUGGGCCAUUACUGACGCUGAGGAGCGAAAGCAUGGGGAGCGAACA
rnacentral:rRNA from 1 species